AAAAGAUGGAGCUGCUGCUGCUCUGUCUACACUCUUCUUCUUCUUCUUCAUAAUCCGCAGAUCCAAAGCCGUUCUCUCAAGUGAUGUGGGCUUUUUCCAUAUAUUUGGAAGCAGUCGUCAGUCGUCACACUUCCUCAACUGGUGCUGUUGUGAAGGACAAGAAAUAUUGACAACUUAACAGGGCAAUAUGUAGUCCUCCUCGGCUUUUGGUACUUCUUGCGAGUGCUUUCCGUUAGGAAGGAGAUGAAUGUUACACACUUACAGUGGCAAAAAGAGAG